rnacentral:rRNA from 1 species
AUGGAGGGUGUUACAGUGUUGAUUGUUGGUGCUGGGCCAGCAGGCCUCGCAACGGCAGCAUGCCUUAGCCUAUUCUCAAUUCCUUAUGCCAUCGUCGAGCGUGAGAGCUGUAGCGCGUCACUCUGGCGCAACCGCGCGUAUGAUCGCCUCAAGCUGCACCUCGCAAAGGAGUUCUGUGAGUUGCCACACAUGCCAUACCCUGUAGAUGCACCAACAUACAUACCAAAAACCUUGUUUGUGAAGUACUUGGAUGACUAUGUUGAGCGUUUCAACAUUCAACCAAAGUAUCUCACCAGCGUGGAGUCAUCCACAUAUGAAAAUGAUGAAAAAUGUUGGUCCAUUGUGGCAAAGGACAUGUCAAAGUGCACCAGAGUCAAGUUCAUGGCGAAGUUUCUUGUUGUGGCAAGUGGUGAGAAUAGUGCAGAGAAUAUUCCAAUGUUCCCUGGACUGGAAAACUUUCCAGGUGAUGUUAUCCACUCCUCAAGCUACAAGUCAGGCAAGAGCUACUCUGGCAAGAAUGUAUUGGUCAUUGGAUCUGGCAACUCCGGGAUGGAA